AGUGAACGCUGGCGGUAGGCCUAACACAUGCAAGUCGAACGGCAGCACAGUAAGAGCUUGCUCUUACGGGUGGCGAGUGGCGGACGGGUGAGGAAUACAUCGGAAUCUACUUUUUCGUGGGGGAUAACGUAGGGAAACUUACGCUAAUACCGCAUACGACCUACGGGUGAAAGCAGGGGAUCUUCGGACCUUGCGCGAUUGAAUGAGCCGAUGUCGGAUUAGCUAGUUGGCGGGGUAAAGGCCCACCAAGGCGACGAUCCGUAGCUGGUCUGAGAGGAUGAACAGACACACUGGAACUGAGACACGGUCCAGACUCCUACGGGAGGCAGCAGUGGGGAAUAUUGGACAAUGGGCGCAAGCCUGAUCCAGCCAUACCGCGUGGGUGAAGAAGGCCUUCGGGUUGUAAAGCCCUUUUGUUGGGAAAGAAAAGCAGCAGGUUAAUACCCCGCUGUUCUGACGGUACCCAAAGAAUAAGCACCGGCUAACUUCGUG
rnacentral:rRNA from 1 species